UACGGAGGAUCCAAGCGUUAUCCGGAUUUAUUGGGUUUAAAGGGUGCGUAGGCGGCCUGUUAAGUCAGGGGUGAAAGACGGUAGCUCAACUAUCGCAGUGCCCUUGAUACUGAUGGGCUUGAAUACACUUGAGGUAGGCGGAAUGUGACAAGUAGCGGUGAAAUGCAUAGAUAUGUCACAGAACACCAAUUGCGAAGGCAGCUUACUAAAGUGUGAUUGACGCUGAGGCACGAAAGCGUGGGGAGCGAACAGG
rnacentral:rRNA from 1 species